rnacentral:rRNA from 1 species
CGCGAAUCGCCCUUCGGGGUGCAGCAGGCGCGAAAACUUUACAAUGCCGGCAACGGCGAUAAGGGAACCUCGAGUGCCAGGUUACAAAUCUGGCUGUCGUGAUGCCUAAAAAGCAUUGCAUAGCAAGGGCCGGGCAAGACCGGUGCCAGCCGCCGCGGUAACACCGGCGGCUCGAGUGGUAACCGUUAUUAUUGGGUCUAAAGGGUCUGUAGCCGGCCGGGUAAGUCUCUUGGGAAAUCUGGCAGCUUAACUGUCAGGCUUUCAGGAGAUACUGCCUGGCUCGAGGCCGGGAGAGGUGAGAGGUACUUCAGGGGUAGGGGUGAAAUCUUGUAAUCCUUGAAGGACCACCAGUGGCGAAGGCGUCUCACCAGAACGGACCUGACGGCAAGGGACGAAAGCUAGGGGCACGAACCGGAUUAGAUACCCGGGUAGUCCUAGCCGUAAACGAUACUCGCUAGGUGUCGGCCACGGUGCGACCGUGGUCGGUGCCGUAGGGAAGCCGUGAAGCGAGCCACCUGGGAAGUACGGCCGCAAGGCUGAAACUUAAAGGAAUUGGCGGGGGAGCAC